rnacentral:SRP_RNA from 1 species
GCUGGGUGCGGUGGCUCACAUCUGUAAUCCCAGCAUUCAGGAGGCUGAGAUGGGCGGAUCACCUGAGGUCAGGAGUUCAAGACCAGCCUGGCCAACAUGGUGAAACCCCAUCUCUA